rnacentral:miRNA from 1 species
CGUGUGUGUGUGUGUGUGUGUGUGUGUGUACACACGCAAGUGCAUGCCCAAACA